UACGUAGGGUGCGAGCGUUAAUCGGAAUUACUGGGCGUAAAGCGUGCGUAGUCGGUUAUCUAAGUCGGAUGUGAAAUCCCCGGGCUCAACCUGGGAAUUGCAUUCGAUACUGGAUAGCUAGAGUUCGGCAGAGGGAAGCGGAAUUUCGGGUGUAGCGGUGAAAUGCGUAGAUAUCCGAAGGAACAUCAGUGGCGAAAGGCGGCUUCCUGGACCAGAACUGACGAUCAGGCACGAAAGCGUGGGGAGCAAACAGG
rnacentral:rRNA from 1 species